AUUGAACGCUGGCGGCAGGCUUAACACAUGCAAGUCGAACGAGUGGCGGACGGGUGAGUAAUGCUUGGGAAUCCAGCUUAUGGAGGGGGAUAACUACGGGAAAAUGUAGCGAAUACCUCUUACCAUCGGACGAGCCCACGUGGGAUUCGGAAGUUGGUGAGGUAAAGGCCAACCAAGCCGACGUCCUCUAGCUGGUCUGAGAGGAUGACCGGCCACCCUGGGACUGAGACACGGCCCGGACUCCUACGGGAGGCAGCGGUAGGGUAUCUUGCGCAAUGGGGGAAACCUGACGCAGCCAUACCGCGUGAGUAAAGAAGGCCUUCGGAUUGUGAAGUUCUUUCGGUAGCAAAGCGUUAACUACAGAAGAAGCACCGGCUAACUCCGUGCCAACAGCCGCGGUAAUAC
rnacentral:rRNA from 1 species